GGAGCCGUGAGUCCGUGGGAUGGGGUGGGCUGAGGGGAGAGCGCUGUGCCCGUCCCUGCGGCGAUGCGGAGGGACCCUCGGGUCCUUUGUUGGGGAAAGAUGACAAAAGCAGCACAGUGCGGUGCCGCCCGGCUCAGCAUGGCACGGCACAGCGCAGUCCAGCAUGGCACAGCAUGGCACAGAGGGGCACGGCGUGGCACAAGAAAGCACGGCGCAGCACGGCGCAGCAGUGUGGCACAGCGCAGCGCUGAGGGGUCGGGGCAUCGCAUCCCCCCCGGUGCUGUCUCUGCGGUCGGAAUGCAGCACAUCCAUCCCCACGGCAGCUCUUCUGCCCGGCAGCAAUUAAUCAGCGGACAACAGCGGGGCAGCGCGCAGGGGAAGUGAGGGGGCUCAGCCUCGCCCCGCUCUGGGGAAGGGGGCUGAUAGACAGAACGUUUUUUGCCUCGGGCUGCAAGUCCUGCAAAACAAUUGCAGGAAAUCUCCUUUACAAGUGCAGACAAGACAUCGUGACCAACAAUCGCUCGGAAGGAAGGCACGGAGGGAACAGGGAAGCGCGUGCACUGAUAAGUGGGCGCUCUCUCAACGACGGGCGGGCGGCCAACGAGCAAGCAGAGGUAUGAAGAAUGCGUGAGUCACCGCCCACACAUCUGAUGUGCCGAAGUGCCGCAACACCCGUCGGUGCCAGCGGACCCCGAGGGCGCAGAACGGGGGCAAAUGGAGCUGUGCAGCUGCAGCCGGGAAAGGGGGGGGUGGGGGGUGGGGGGGCGCUGGGGUGGGGGUUUUCCCCUCCUGUGCUGAAGUUGCAGCGGAGCUGAUUGCAGCCCCCGGCAGCUGCGGGAGGUGAGAGCUGGGCAGAAAGCACCCAACGCCCGAGGAUGGCAAAGGCACGGGGAGAGGCGGGUGCUGUGUUAGGGGGGAACUGAUGGAGGGGCUCUGGCACAGCUGGAGCGAUGCAGCGGGGCUUUGUGCCCCUCUGCCCGCAGCCCCAACGCAGGCGGAGCUGUGAGCUCAGAGGGCAUAUAAAGGCUGCUGCUGCAGAAGGGAAAAAUGCAUUUAAUGAGGUCCUGCGCCCGGAGGAGCCCCGUUGUGCAGCACGGAACGGGCACGGGGAUGCGCUCAGGGGCGUGUGGGUGUCCCGCAGUCCGGUUUUGGCAUCACGAAGGCGACGAAGGCAUCGCAGAGCCACGCCGGGCAGUAGCUGAGAGGCAGCAGGAAGAGGAGCGCGUCCCACCCGGCGGCGUAACGGCUGCGGGGACUGCGGGAGAGCAGCGCGUGCUGCAUGCGGGAGGUGACGCGGGACAGGCGGGGGCUGCUCAGGCGGUACAGGAGGACACUGCGGUGGGCGACUGCAGGGCGGAGGGAGGAGGGAGGGGUCAGUGGGGCAGAGGGAUCCGUGGGGUGGCUGCAGCGCUGUGGGGGGAUGGGGGGAUGUACUGACAGGUCUCCAAGUAGCGGUGGCCGUAGGAUGCCCGGGUCUCUGCCGGGAGCUGCGCCCAGACGCGCUGCAGUUCCUUGGUUGCCGCUCUGGGGUCGGUCGCCCCCGUUCGGAAUCCGCCGGGUUCGAUGAUGGAGACCUUCACCCCGAAGUGUCGCAUCUCACACCUGAAUGGGGAUGGGGACAUCGCUGUCACUGCCCCAGGAUGGGACCCAGCGCUGCCUCCCCAGAGAUGGCGCUCCUCCAACCCUUUCCAUCUUUGCAUAACCGCUCAAUCCCCAACCCACAGGGACACCUUUCACAAUCCCCCCCUCCACCGCUCAGCGCCUUUCCCUUCUAUUGGGACAGGACUUGCCGGGGGGAGAGGGAGGGAGGGGAUGGCGAAAGCAGGACAGAGGCAAAGCAGCGCUGCUCCGCUGCUGCCAAACCCCGAGAGGGACACAGCCGGGCUGUGCUGUACCUGAGGCUGUCGGAGAAGGCCUCCACACCGAACUUGGAGGGGCAGUACCCCCCCCCGAAGAUGGAGAGCCGGCCCAUCACGCUGGCCACGUUGACCACGCGGCCCCGCGCCCGCUUCACCAGCGGCAGGAGGCUGAGCGUCACCUCGAUCAGCCCCACCAGGUUGACGUUCAGCACCGCCACGAAGUCCUCCUUCCUCAGCCACUCGUUGGGGGCGGCGGGGACGGCGAUGCCGGCGUUGUUCACCAACCCCCACAGCCCUGCAACGGGGACGGGCUCAGCCGGGACCCCCACCGUGCCCCCUCCCCUCCCCUCCCCGCCCGGCCGCCCCUCCUACCUCGCUCCCCCACGCGCUCCUGCACCCACGCGGCGGCGGCGGCGAUGCUGCUGCUGGAGGUGACGUCCAGCAGGACGGUCUGCAGGCGCGACGAGGCGGUCUCCCGCAGCCGUGCGGCCCCCGACUCGGUCAGGCAGCCCGCCAGCACCCGCAGCCCCCGCGCGUCCAGCUGCCGUGCCAGCAGGUCGCCGAAGCCCGAAUCGCAGCCCGUGAUCAGCACAAACUUCUCCUCCAGGCCGGGCACCGUCUGCCGCUCGCGGUGCCAACGCCGCAGCAGCCACAGCCCCAGCAGCGCCAGCAGCCACAGCCACAUCCUGCCUGGGGGGAAGAGAGGGGCUGAGCGGGGGCUGCCUGCAGGGCCCUGCGGGUCGGGGUCGUUUGGGGGGUUCAGCUGCCUCACCACAGCCCCGAGCGCGCUACGCUGGGGGCUACUCCCCGCAUUUGGGGUCUUUGGCUCUCAGAUGUGAGUCCUUGAGCUUCCCUGUCGGCUGCCACCCCAUCGGAACCCAUCGCAGCUGGUGCUCGGGGUGGGCGCUGGUUUGUGGCUCUCGGCCCUACCUGCCCCCCACCACCCCCUCUGUCCCCACCCUCCCACUGUGCACAGCACUCGGUUUCCAUUCCUUCAUCACACCUAUGAGGUUUCCCUUGGUCGUGAGGAGGACGCACUGAGGACACAGCCCAGUGCAGCCUCACCGCGCUCCCCCAGAGCACAGCACUGCAGCGGGGCGGCUUCAGAGCUGCCCCCACCGGCCCACAGAGCUCCCACCCCACUGGGACACCCCCACUCCAGCCUUGCCCGACCCCUCCUGCACAUCUCCCUGCGCUGUGCCCACCCUGGAGGAGCUGCACCUGCAAACACCACAGCACAAACCCCGGGGUUACCUGGGCAGCUCUGCACUGCUCCGCGAGUCCUCGCACAGCCCACGUCCCCGCGUAUAAAUAGAGCUCAGUGCAGACGAGCAGUGUCAUGCAGAGCGGGGCAGCACUGCCCGAAUUGCUACAGGUAGUGCUGCAAGGUGGGCAGGAUUGCACCAGCGCCGGAAUAAACCUCGACUGAACCUAA